rnacentral:lncRNA from 1 species
AUUUGCAUCUUGAUAUGAUUUCUUAUCACAGACCAGCUCAGGUGGGAAGGGAAGCAGGGAAUGUUUUGUGCUUCUCUGCUGAAGAGGGUCCACGUGGAGCAGCAUCCAGAUCCGGACUGACAGAGAUUAAGGCACAGAGGAAAAAGCUGAAACAAGCAUCCUUCAGCUGUUCCUGUGGAGAGCAAGGCAAGCACUGCUCUUCAGGAAGGGAGGAAAGCUGCACAGGAGGAAAAACCACAGUGCAGCUCUGCCUCCGUGUUCCUGAGCAUCCAGCCCUUGUAAACCCCAGCAAUGAUGAGGAGGAGUUAGCAGCUGAAGAGUUCAUUUUGUACAGCAUUUAUCUCCUGAGCUUAAAAAUGCACCAGAAACCAAGAUUUACAAAGCUGUUGUUGGGAUUGUUUCUCUUUUUAUAAAUUGCAAACAGUAAACCUGUCUCUUUUAAUAUAUUAUGUCAGCUAAACAUCUGGUUUGCUUACGUUGCUUCUUGGUCCACCUUGGCUCUCUGGUGAUUCCAAUCAUAUGAAAAUGCUCAAACCCAGGGCUUGAAAAUGGACAAUUUUCCAAAAUCUCUAUUUAAUUCUGCAAGAUUCUACAAGUAUUCAAGAUUUCAACAGCAUGUUGAAACAGGCAUUUUGAACAUAAGGGAGUUAAGAGCUGAAGUUUUACAAGUAUUACUUUUUAUUGAUAUUAUUUCUAAAGCCAAAUGUUCUUUUUAAAAGCUGUGGCACGGAAAUGCAAUCAUUUUGGGUGUUUUAUCUCUUUCUCCACACAAAAUCUGAGCUUGACUCAGUCCCUUCACCAGUGGGGUUAAAAUAUGGCAUAAUUUAACAGUGCAAGCAGACGAGCCUCACCCCAGGACUGUCCAAAGACCAUCAGGAUGUUGUCCAUGGCAAAAUCAGCUGUUCCAAAAGCGAGGAGGACACUCAAAGCUCGCAGCUGCCCUGCUUUAGCUCGUGGAGUGGUGCCUGCUGGUUUGUGAAUGGGUCAAGAGCUGUUUGCAUGUGUCUGUGUGUCAGGGCUUUUGUUUAUGACUUCAGUCACUGUUUCCAUUUCAGAAGAAAUAAGAUAAAUCCUUCUGACAUUCUAGUUCUUUCUCUUCUUGGCUCUAACUGGUGGUGGAUAAUUCAGAUUUGGCAAAGGGUUUUGUCUGCCCUGAAACUGCAUUUCUCAACAUUUGCUGGUAAAAUUUGCCAGCUGUAGUCUGGACUGCAAAGGUUUUUACACAUUUCAAACCUGAAGGUGGUUUUUUUUCAGGUCUCUGUUGUUCUAGUAAAAGAUAUGUUUUCUCUCUCAAUAAGCCUUUCUGCCAUUAUAGAUCAUUAUGCUUCUCCAUCUGCAUACAAGUCAUAUUAUACAUUAUUUUCAUUUAUCACUCUUUACAGCAAUUUACCUGCACGUGCAACAAUGUGUGUAAUAUUUUGGAUAUGAGUAUCAAGAGACAGAACAGGACAUUAGGACAGCACUGGCAGUUUUGUGGGGUUUUGCUUGUUUGGGUUUUUUUUUAAUGGGAAGAUAGAAAAGUGUUGGAGCAGAUGCUCUGGGUCCUAACUUUGUAGCUAUUGAUGCUUACACAUCAAAGAAAGGCAGAGUCAAGCCUGUUCUCUCUUUGAGACAGAAAAGGGGGGGAAAGGACAAGUUAGCUAUGAAUGUGUAGCACCUGAUUGAGCAGCACUAAGUGCAGUUAACAGUAACAGAGUGCUGGGAGAGGUCUGCAGCUUCAGGAAGGAUCCUCUGCUGCAGCCAAGCCAGGGGUUUGUCAGGAAAAUCACUACCAGCACUGAACCUGCUUUCUCUGAAGCUAUUUUUAGCAAAACAAUUCGAACACAGGAUAUUUGGUAAGCAUCAGCAUCCGGUGUUUAUCAAAAAUAAAAGCUCCUGCAUGAUUUGCA